ensembl:lncRNA
AAUUUCUUGAGUGACUUCCUCUAGAAGAUCAGGGAAUUCCUAGAAGAGCAGCAAAGCUACAACUUGAAGGAUCCAGAUACAGACGACAAUAGGUAGACUGUUGGUAAGUCAGUGGCUUGAUGGCUUAAUGGAGACAACAACAGGAGGCGAGUAUACCCAUAGGGCUGGCCAUGCUGGGGAAGGGAGCCCGCUAGAAUGGGUCCAAGCCCAUAGCCAAGACCAGAAACCGCCAUAGUGGCGGUCAAGGAGGCUUCAUUCUAAGUCCACAUGCUGAACAGUGCUUCAUCAGCAGACUCUCUGAAGAAGCUUCUGCACCUCAGAGCUCCCAAAAGAGAUCAAAAGCCAUGACCAAGACCGAGGGAAAGGUGGGGGAGUUGUGGGAGCUGGACACAAAGGACAUUUAACUCCUUGUCCCACUUCCAGCAGCUGCCAAUCAUCCUCCUCCCACUCACUCCUGGCUCUCUUUUGCUCUCUUCUCUAUUUUUUUUUUUUUUUUUUAAGACAAGGUCUCACUCUGUCACCCAGGCUUAAGUGCAGUGGCAUGAUCAUAGCUCACCGCAGCCUCGAUCUCCUGAGCUCAAGAGAUCUCCUACCUCAGCAUCCCGAAGUGCUGGGAUUACAGGAGGCGAAUGUUUUGUUUUCUAAGAGAAAGAAAAGAAGCUGUCGAUAGUGCCAAUAAAAGCAGCAGAAAGGUCACUCAGCGCAUGUGCAAAGACAAGGUCUUGGACAAUGAGUUCUGCAAACCACAGAGUGCACAGAAACUAGAAGCCAGGAAGAACACCGAGAUGUGAGAAACAGUGACUGAAUGAUAUGAGAAGGGCCAUUUAAAGACUUUCACAGAGAGGACAAAGACAGAGAGCAAGAACAGAAGGAGCUCCUAAGAUUUAGGGAACUCGAGGCAAAUAAAUGGAAUAAGGGCUAAGCGCAGUGGCUCAUACCUGUAAUCCCCCCACUUUGGGAGGCCGAGGUGGGCAAAUCACUUAAGGUCAGGAGUUCAAGACCAGCCUAGCCAACAUGGCGAAACCCCAUCUCUACUAAAAAUACAAAAAUCAGCCAGGUGUGGUGGUGUACACCUGUAGUCCCAGCUACUUGGGAGGCUGAGGCAGGCGAAUCACUUGAACCCGGGAGGCAGAGGUUGCAGUGAGCCGAGAUCACACCACUGCACUCCAGCCUGGGUGACAGAGCAAGACUCCACCUCAAAAUAAUAAUAAUAAUAAUAAUAAUAAUAAUAAACAGAAUAAGGAGAGCAGCCAUUUCUGAAGCCAGGAGGAAAUGUUUCAGAUGGAGGGGAGCAGGCAAAAAAGAGAGACAAGAGCAGUGAGGAGACAGCCAUUAGAUGGCACUGCAGAGAAAACCGUUUGGAGUUCUGAAAAUUUUUUAUUGUGGAAAACUUCCCAACCCAUAUAAAAGUAGAGAAUACAUACCCAGGAGGUGGAGCAAGAGGAUUGCUUGAGCCCAGGAGUUUGAAUCCAGCCUGGAUAGCAGAGGGGGACCCCAUCUCUUAAAAAAAAAAAAAAAGGAGACAGUAUGGUUAUAAUGAAUCCCUAUAUAUGCAUCACCCCUUCCCCAGAUUAUUUUGAAACAAAUUCAAGACAUCACAUUAUUGUGGUGGCUCUCAAAUUUUAUCAUGCGUUUGAAUCCCCUGAAGGGCUUGUUAAAACAUGGAUUGUUGGGCUCCACCCACAGAGUUUCUGAUUCAGUAGGUCUGGCCUGAGAAUCUGCAUUCUAACAAGCUCCUGUGUAAUACUGAUGCUGCUGAUCUGAGGGCCACGCUCUGAGAACCAUUGUAGUUAGAAUUUCACCUACAGAUAUUUCUCUUUAAAAAGGACUGCCCUAUUUAGACAUAAUCAUGAUGUUAUCAGCACACAUAAAAAUCAAUAAUAAUUCCUUAAUAUCAUGUUUUCCCAAUUAUCCUCUAAGUGUUUUUGUUAACCAAUUGUUUGAACUGGGAUCCAAACAAGGUCUAUGGAUUGCAAUUGGUUAAUAUGUCUCUUUAGACUCUUUUCCUCUAUGGGUAGAGUUUGAAUGGGCAGCAUGAGAGACAGUCUGAGCAAUAGUUGAGAGAGAUGUGCAGAUGUGUGUCAUGAAAACAGUAUAGGCCAGACAUGGUGGCUCUCACCUGUAAUCCCAGCACUUUGGGAGGCUGAGGCAAGCAGAUCACCUGAGGCCAGGAGUUCGAGAUCAGCCCGGCCAACAUGGGGAAACCCCAUCUCUACUAAAAAAUACAUAAAAUAGCCAGGCAUCGUGGUGGGCGCCUGUAAUUCCAGCUACUCAGGGGGCUGAGACAGGAGAAUACUCAGAGGCUUGAACCCAGGAGGCGGAGGUUGCAGUGAGCCAAGAUCGUGCCACUGCACUCCAGCCUGGGCAACAGAGCAAGACUCCAUCUCAAAAAAACAAACAAAAAAAGCACAAACUUUGGUUUGGAUCCAACCUCUACCACUUACUAGAGAUACAUGAAGACAAUGAAGAUAAUAAGUCUAUUCAUGGACUACUUUGACAAUUAUAUAAAAAUUACGCCUGUAGAGUGGAAUCCAUAUAUAUUAGGGCUAAGGAAUCAGAAGCUCUGUGACCUAGGGCAAGUACUUAACUUCACUAAGCUUCAGUUUUCUAAUCAAUAAAAAGAGAGGUUAUAGCAGUACCUAUUUUAUAGGGUUGUGAAUGAGCUACUGAGUGUAAACAUCUUAAGCACACUAUCUAACCUGUAAUAAGCACUCGGACUUGUAUUGUUAUGAAAAUAACAAUUAUUCUAGCCGUACGAUGAAUGUCACUCCU